UACGUAGGGUGCAAGCGUUAAUCGGAAUUACUGGGCGUAAAGCGUGCGCAGGCGGCUUGCAAGACAGAUGUGAAAUCCCCGGGCUCAACCUGGGAACUGCAUUUGUGACUGCAUGGCUAGAGUGCGGCAGAGGGGAUGGAAUUCCCGGUGUAGCGGUGGAAUGCGUAGAGAUCGGGAAGAAUACCAGUGGCGAAGGCGUUCUGCUGGGCCGGUUGCUGACACUGAGGCGCGACAGCGUGGGGAGCAAACAGG
rnacentral:rRNA from 1 species